rnacentral:rRNA from 1 species
GCAGCCGCGGUAAUACGUAGGGGGCAAGCGUUAUCCGGAUUUACUGGGUGUAAAGGGAGCGUAGACGGAAUAGCAAGUCAGAUGUGAAAGGCCGGGGCUUAACCCCGGGAUUGCAUUUGAAACUGCCAUUCUUGAGUACCGGAAGGGCAGACGGAAUUCCUGGUGUAGCGGUGAAAUGCGUAGAGAUCAGGAGGAACACCGGUGGCGAAAGCGGUCUGCUGGACGGUAACUGACGUUGAGGCUCGAAGGCGUGGGGAGCAAACAGGAUUAGAUACCCC